AUUGAACGCUGGCGGCAGGCCUAACAAAUGCAAGUCGAGCGGAGCGGCGGCAGGGUGAGUAAUGACUAGGAAGGAACCUGGCAGUGGGGGGAAGCGUCCGGAAGCGGGCGCUAAUAACGCAUGCUAUCCAGUGGGCGUAAGUCGGAUUCGCUAGUUGGUGGGGUAAAGGCUUACCAAGGCGACGAUCCGUAGCUGGUCUGAGAGGAUGAUUAGUCACAAUGGAACUUAGACACGGUCCAGACUCCUACGGGAGGCAGCAGUGGGGAAUAUUGGACAAUGGGCCAAAGCCUUAGCCAGCCAUGCCGCGUGUGUUAAGAAGGUCUUCGGAUUGUAAAGCACUUUAAGUUGGGAGGCGGUACCAACAGAAGAAGCAACGGCUAACUCCGGGCCAGCAGCCGCGGUAAUAC
rnacentral:rRNA from 1 species